CGCCGCUCUAGGCCGCAGCCCGCGCCCCAGCUGCAUUUCCGCCCGCGCUGGGAGGGAGGGUGGGUUUCUUUUGGUUCCUGCCGCCUCCCCGAGCGGUCCCGAACCCUCCCGCACCGUGCCGCACCUUCUCCGCGUCGUUCCCUUUGACCCCCGCCGACAACAGUCCCGGCGCCCCGGGCCGUGCGAGCUCUGCGGCUGUCUUGGAAGCAGAUGGAGACUGUCCCUUGGACGGCUUUGCGGGCCGAGCCGCAGGCAGCACCCCUUUCUGCCCCGCAGGACCGUGGUCCGCAGCGCCAGAUGCCCCCCCACCCCCGUGUGCAGGGCUGAGGCCUGCUGGGGACAAGUUGGGUCUGUUGCAGAUGAGCCCACCGUGUGCAGAGGCAUCGUGGGAAUUGUAUCAGGAACAUUCUAGACCCCAGUGUCCUUGAGCUUGGAGAAAGAUGAGAUCACGUUGGAACCCGGACACUUGUGACCUCCUGCUCUGUGGCAUCCUCCUCGCUCUAGGAGUGCUGCCUCGGAGCUGGAGAUUGCUGGAGGAAGCCUGAGUGGACGGAGGCACUGGCCCUCUCAGGACGACCCAGGCCCCAGCUGCCCUGGAGGGACCUCCUCAUGGUGAGUUAAUGCCAAGGGGCUAAGUCGGCCUGUGUUUCUGAUACGGAAAUUCCAGGCUGCUGGCCUCAUUGGACCUUCUCCUUUAGAUUAUGUCGGGGUUGAUCGUGGACACUGGAGUAGCAUGAUGAAGAAUAAUGUUGCCAGGUGAAGCAUCGCCAGACCUUCUUACCCUGUUGCCUCAGCACAGCAUGGAAGCACUUUUCCCUCUGUGUAAGCAGGCCAGAGGGAAAGCCCUGGGACCCUGGAGGCUUGAGGUCCAGAGCUAGAGACUUCAGCUGUUUCUGCCACUCCCCCAGCAGGUGUCACCGAGCGCCGUGGACCAGGAAGACUGGUUCCCUUCCACCUGGCCAGGUUGUCCAGCAGCCUCACGUCUCCCAACCUACUCCUCCUGUAACGUUUUAGAACCAAGAGUUUUCUGCACAGUGCAUCCUUGUCCUCUCACCCACCCAAUAAAUCUUGAAACUGCCC
ensembl:lncRNA